rnacentral:rRNA from 1 species
CCUACGGGUGGCAGCAGUGAGGAAUAUUGGUCAAUGGACGCAAGUCUGACCCAGCAAUGCCGCGUGCAGGAAGACGGCUCUCUGAGUUGUAAACUGCUUUUGUACGAAGGUAAAAGCAGAUACGCGUUUCUGUCUGAAAGUAUCGUACGAAUAUGGAUCGGCUAACUCCGUGCCAGCAGCCGCGGUCAUACGGCGGAUUCAAGCGUUAUCCGGAUUUAUUGGGGUUAAAGGGUGCGUAGGCGGUCGGAUAAGUUAGAGGUGAAAUCCCGAGGCUCAACCUCGGAAUUGCCUCUGAUACUGUUCGGCUAGAGAGUAGUAGCGGUAGGCGGAAUGUAUGGUGUAGCGGGGAAAUGCGUAGAGAUCAUGCAGAACACCGAUGGCGAAGGCAGCUUGCCAGGCUACUUCUGACGUUGAGGCACGAAAGCGUGGGGAGCAAACAGGAUUAGAUACCCGGGUAGUC